UUGACCUCGGAUCAGGUAGGGAUACCCGCUGAACUUAAGCAUAUCAAUAAGCGGAGGAAAAGAAACCAACAGGGAUUGCCUCAGUAACGGCGAGUGAAGCGGCAAGAGCUCAAAUUUGAAAGCUGGCCCCCUCGGGGUCCGCAUUGUAAUUUGCAGAGGAUGCUUCGGGAGCGGCCCCCAUCUAAGUGCCCUGGAACGGGCCGUCAUAGAGGGUG
rnacentral:rRNA from 1 species